CGUUGUUCUGUGGUGGAUUUGUGUGUUUUUGGUGUUUUUCUUUCUGUUGUGCUUGCAGAGAUGCACUGAGACGCUGGGUGGAGUUUUCCACUCAUCAUCAGAUGACCUCUGGUCUUCACGCUACCUGCUGCCAGAUGAUUUGUGUUUGCCAGCAUAUCCAGCUACCAGUGGCUCCACUUCCAGCAGCCCAGCAGCUCUGCAGCCAGCAGCCUCGCCCUGCGCUCACCUGAGUCUCUACUCGCCACGCUUACCACCAGCGCCAGUCUCUAUCUAUAGGCUUCAACUAUCUACAACGAAGUGUAUAGAAUCAUAUAACAAACUCUGAACCUAGUGGAUCCGACAUCCAUACACCAGGCUCUAAACACCGGCUGCAGACCAGGUAGCUCCAUUCUUCACCUGAUCCCUCACUCUCUGCCAGCACCUCAGCACUCCCCAUGUCCCACCAGGAUCCCCAGAGCUCCGCCUGCUGUCCUGGAGGAGCAGUACAGGUGGGAAGAACUCGCUUGACUCUAGAGGAACGUCAACACUGUACAAAUAACCAACUGUGCAUCUACUAACCCUGACACAGCCCGGACACCACCUCGCCUUCUGCCUGACUCCUGGAAAAUAAACUGUUCAUCAAACCUGAGAAGCGAGCAGGCGCUUUCUUACCAUUAAGUCAAAGGUCGGCACUUGGGCCCCCUGACCUGCAGGGGCCCAGGACCUCCGGCCAGCAGCCCCCCACCAGUGUCUUUGUACAUUAGAAUUAUGUUCUUCUGAUCAGAAAAUAAAG